CCUACGGGUGGCAGCAGUGGGGGAUAUUGGUCAAUGGGGGAAACCCUGAACCAGCAACGCCGCGUGAGGGAAGAAGGCCUUCGGGUUGUAAACUUAAGUUAUCCGGGAUGAAACAAAUGACGGUACCUGAAAAGCAAGCUCCGGCUAACUACGUGCCAGCAGCCGCGGUAAUACGUAGGGAGCAAGCGUUGUCCGGAUUUACUGGGUGUAAAGGGUGCGUAGGCGGGAGCACAAGUCAGACGUGAAAUACCGGGGCUCAACCCCGGGGCUGCGUUUGAAACUGUGUUUCUUGAGUGAAGUAGAGGCAGGCGGAAUUCCGAGUGUAGCGGUGGAAUGCGUAGAUAUUCGGAGGAACACCAGUGGCGAAGGCGGCCUGCUGGGCUUUAACUGACGCUGAGGCACGAAAGCAUGGGGAGCAAACAGGAUUAGAUACCCGAGUAGUC
rnacentral:rRNA from 1 species